AUUGCUUCAUUCUAACUUUCCGUUGUUCUUUAUUCUGAAAAAGUACUGUAUUUUGAUAACUGUUCAUUUAAAUGAGCUAUGCGUACUUUCCAACCUCUUGUAAUUGCUAAGAUAUACGGAGUACUUACUACAUCAAGCAAGCAGUUUGGUUGUUUCCCUUUUUUUUUGCUAUUUAUCUUAAAUGAGGAUAAUUGGAAAGACUCCUUAGCAGGUAUCCGUGCCCAUGAUUGCUUCCACAACUUUCACUUUGCCUGCUCUCUCUUUCUUACCCUCUCAACGACUGAAUCACAGCCAAGCUUUCUGUGCUUCCUUACGGAUCUCAUCUAUCCUCCUGUUUCUUCUCCACUGCCUACUCCACCAUCCUGGGCAUGGUGAUGUCCCUCGCUGGCUUUGUCCGCCGUAUCCGGCACCGGCGAGGUGCGCUUGUCCACACUUCGUGGUGCCUAGAUUCAGCGUUGAUGAGGAUGUGGCUUGUCCACAUCCUAUAAGGCAUGUUGAGCUGCUGUUGUGAUGCGGCUUUCCUCACUGCCUCAUGCGGAGGUCGGUGCAUUUUUGGGGCUACCAAGCUGAAGGAAAAUUUUGAUGCCAACUUUACAUGUUAGUUGGUUUCACAAAUUUUUGAGAGCCCAUCAUGAUUGUUGAAAGCUCACAAAAUUUCAGAAGUUACUGAGUUUUGAAAAGUUAUCCCUGAAACUUUUUUGAAAGUUAACCUGGAAGUUUUUGUAACCUAUUGUCUGAAAUUAUUGAAAGCUCACAUAAGUAAAGUUAAAAUUAUUUUUUCCCCAUUUUUGUGUACUUCUGCACUGGUGUAGUAGUGAUGGCGGCAGAAAUGGGGAAGCAGAAAGGAGCCAUGGAAGGCAUUGUGCUGGUUGUGGAGAUUGUUCCAGCAGCGUGAUAGCUGUCAGAAAGUAACCACGGGUGAGCGCGUCGUGGCGGAUAAUUGGACCACAUAAUAGUGAGAUUUCCAUUUUCGAUUAGUGAAGUAAUGUGGACGAUUAUACAUAUUUUUUAGCUUUUACAAAACCAUCCAUUUGAGUCAAAGAUCUCUCAUGUUUCUUAUUUUUUAUCUAUGUGGACCAGUUUACAAGUAAAAAGGUAAAAGCACUCCUGGCACUAGAGACGCUUACAAUUACAAGGGAUGCUGAUUGAUUGGCGCUACGUUAGUUACAUGUGCACUUUUUUCUUGUGGUCGUCUCCAUUAGUAGAU